AUUGAACGCUGGCGGCAUGCCUAAAACAUGCAAGUCGAACGAGUGGCGGAGGGGUGAGUAAGGUCUGGGAAACUGCCCGAUGGAGGGGGCUAACUACUGGAAACGUUAGCUAAAACUGCAUACAACGGGCUGUGCUCCGAUGGGAUUAGCUAGUCGGUGGGGUAACGGCUCACCUAGGCGACGAUCCCUAGCUGGUCUGAGAGGAUGACCAGCCACACUGGAACUGAGACACGGUCCAGACUCCUACGGGAGGCAGCAGUGGGGAAUAUUGCACAAUGGGCGAAAGCCUGAUGCAGCCAUGCCGCGUGUAUGAAGAAGGCCUUCGGGUUGUAAAGUACUUUCAGCGAGGAGGCGUUACUCGCAGAAGAAGCACCGGCUAACUCCGUGCCAGCAGCCGCGGUAAUUC
rnacentral:rRNA from 1 species